rnacentral:rRNA from 1 species
AACGAACGCUGGCGGCGUGCUUAAGACAUGCAAGUCGUACGGAAAGGCCCCCUUCGGGGGUACGUCGAGUGGCGCACGGGUGGAGUAACGCGUGGGUAAGUCUGCCUUCGGGUCGUGGGACGAACCUCGGGAAACGUAGGGGCGUAAUACCAGAUAAGACCACGAGUUCUUCGGAGGCUCGCGGAAAAAGAAUGGCCUCUCCUUGGAAGCUAUCGCCCGUCCGAUGAGCCUGCGUCCCA